UACGGAGGGUGCAAGCGUUAUCCGGAUUCACUGGGUUUAAAGGGUGCGUAGGUGGGUUGGUAAGUCAGUGGUGAAAUCCCCGAGCUUAACUUGGGAACUGCCAUUGAUACUAUCAGUCUUGAAUAUUGUGGAGGUUAGCGGAAUAUGUCAUGUAGCGGUGAAAUGCUUAGAUAUGACAUAGAACACCCAUUGCGAAGGCAGCUAACUACGCGAAUAUUGACGCUGAGGCACGAAAGCGUGGGGAUCAAACAGG
rnacentral:rRNA from 1 species